AUACGGAGGGUGCAAGCGUUACUCGGAAUCACUGGGCGUAAAGCGCGCGCAGGCGGUCUUUUAAGUUGGAUGUGAAAGCCUACGGCUCAACCGUAGAACUGCAUCCAAAACUAUUUAGCUAGAGUGUGGGAGAGGAAGAUGGAAUUAGUUGUGUAGGGGUAAAAUCCGUAGAGAUAACUAGGAAUACCAAAAGCGAAGGCAAUCUUCUGGAACACUACUGACGCUGAGGCGCGAAAGCGUGGGGAGCAAACAGGAUUAGAAACCCUAGUAGUCC
rnacentral:rRNA from 1 species